rnacentral:rRNA from 1 species
UACAGAGGUCUCAAGCGUUGUUCGGAUUCAUUGGGCGUAAAGGGUGUGUAGGUGGCGCCGUAAGUCGGGUGUGAAAUUUCGGAGCUUAACUCCGAAACUGCAUUCGAUACUGCGGUGCUUGAGGACUGGAGAGGAGACUGGAAUUCAUGGUGUAGCAGUGAAAUGCGUAGAGAUCAUGAGGAAGACCAAUGGCGAAGGCAGCUCGCUGGGACGGUACUGACGCUGAGACGCGAAAGCGUGGGGAGCAAACAGG